rnacentral:rRNA from 1 species
UAGGGAAUCUUCCGCAAUGGGCGAAAGCCUGACGGAGCAACGCCGCGUGAGUGAUGAAGGUCUUCGGAUCGUAAAACUCUGUUAUUAGGGAAGAACAAAUGUGUAAGUAACUAUGCACGUCUUGACGGUACCUAAUCAGAAAGCCACGGCUAACUACGUGCCAGCAGCCGCGGUCAUACGUAGGUGGCAAGCGUUAUCCGGGAUUAUUGGGCGUAAAGCGCGCGUAGGCGGUUUUUUAAGUCUGAUGUGAAAGCCCACGGCUCAACCGUGGAGGGUCAUUGGAAAAUGGAAAACUUGAGUGCAGAAGAGGAAAGUGGAAUUCCAUGUGGAGCGGUGAAAUGCGCAGAGAUAUGGAGGAACACCAGUGGCGAAGGCGACUUUCUGGUCUGUAACUGACGCUGAUGUGCGACAGCGUGGGGAUCAAACAGG